UGAGCAAUCUGCCCUUCUCUUCGGAAUAAGCGUUGGAAACGACGUCUAAUGCCGAAUACGACCUCCUUUCGCAUGAUCGGAGGUGGAAAGCUCCGGCGGAGAAGGAUGAGCUCGCGGCCUAUCAGCUAGUUGGUGCGGGUAAUAGCUCACCAAGGCGAUGACGGGUAGCCGGCCUGAGAGGGUGACCGGCCACACUGGGACUGAGACACGGCCCAGACUCCGUAGGAGG
rnacentral:rRNA from 1 species